rnacentral:rRNA from 1 species
GAGGAAUAUUGCGCAAUGGGGGAAACCCUGACGCAGCGACGCCGCGUGGAUGAUGAAGGCUUUCGAGUCGUAAAAUCCUGUCAGAUGGGAAGAAGUGCAUAUCAACUAAUACUUGUUAUGUUUGACGGUACCA